UCUAAGCACAUGCCUUAAUACGGUGAAGCCGCGAAUAGCUCAUUACAACAGCCAUCGUUUACUAGAAAAUAGUUAUCUUACUUGGAUAACUGUGGCAAUUCUAGAGCUAAUACAUGCAAAAUAGCUCCGCCCGCAAGGAACGAGCGCAUUUAUUAGAAUAAAAACCAAUCGGGCUUCGGCCUGUAAUUUGGUGAAUCUGAAUAACUUUGCCAAUCGCACAGUCCUAGUACUGGCGAUGUAUCUUUCAAGUGUCUGCCUUAUCAACUUUCGAUGGUAGGUUACACGCCUACCAUGGUAGUAACGGGUAACGGAGAAUAAGGGUUCGACUCCGGAGAGGGAGCCUGAGAAACGGCUACCACAUCCAAGGAAGGCAGCAGGCGCGCAAAUUACCCACUUCCAGAACGGAGAGGUAGUGACGAAAAAUAACGAGACAGUCCUCUUCGAGGUCUGUCAUCGGAAUGGGUACAAUUUAAAUCCUUUAACGAGGAUCUAUUGGAGGGCAAGUCUGGUGCCAG
rnacentral:rRNA from 1 species